UACGGAGGGGGCUAGCGUUGUUCGGAAUUACUGGGCGUAAAGCGCACGUAGGCGGAUCGGUAAGUCGGGGGUGAAAUCCCGGGGCUCAACCCCGGAACUGCCUUCGAUACUGCUGGUCUGGAGUCCGAGAGAGGUGAGUGGAAUUCCGAGUGUAGAGGUGAAAUUCGUAGAUAUUCGGAGGAACACCAGUGGCGAAGGCGGCUCACUGGCUCGGUACUGACGCUGAGGUGCGAAAGCGUGGGGAGCAAACAGG
rnacentral:rRNA from 1 species